UCAAUCAGUAACACUCAAAGCCUGGCAGUAGCACUUAUCUUCCAAGAAAACAAAAGAGCCCCAGGUUGAGUAUCACAGGUUGA
rnacentral:pre_miRNA from 1 species